rnacentral:misc_RNA from 1 species
GUCAGAUGUGGAUAAGAGACAGGUGAGUCAUCGAAUCUUUGAACGCACAUUGCGCCCCUUGGUAUUCCGAGGGGCAUGCCUAUUCGAGCGUCAUUAUCACCCCUCAAGCUCCGGCUUGGUGUUGAGGCCUGCUGUAAAGGCACCCUCUAAAAUCAGUGGCAGUGCCGUCAGGCUCUAAGCGUAGUAAUUUCAUCGCUAUAGACCCGAGCGGACCCUCGCCAGAAACCCCCCAUUUUUUAAUGAUUGACCUCGGAUUAGGUAGGGAUACCCGCUGAACUUAAGCAUAUCAAUAAGCGGAGG